rnacentral:rRNA from 1 species
CCUUUGACGUUAGCGGCUGACGGGUGAGUAACACGUGGGUAACCUACCUAUAAGACUUGGAUAACUUCGGGAAACCGGAGCUAAUACCGGAUAACAUUUGGAACCGCAUGGUUCUAAAGUGAAAGAUGGUUUUGCUAUCACUUAUAGAUGGACCCGCGCCGUAUUAGCUAGUUGGUAAGGUAACGGCUUACCAAGGCAACGAUACGUAGCCGACCUGAGAGGGUGAUCGGCCACACUGGAACUGAGACACGGUCCAG